rnacentral:rRNA from 1 species
AACUUUCGACAACGGAUCUCUUGGCUCUCGCAUCGAUGAAGAACGCAGCGAAAUGCGAUAAGUAAUGUGAAUUGCAGAAUUCAGUGAAUCAUCGAAUCUUUGAACGCACCUUGCGCCCUUUGGUAUUCCGAGGGGCAUGCCUGUUUGAGUGUCAUUAA